rnacentral:rRNA from 1 species
CAGCCGCCGCGGUAAGACAGAGGAUGCAAGCGUUAUCCGGAAUGAUUGGGCGUAAAGCGUCUGUAGGUGGCUUUUCAAGUCCGCCGUCAAAUCCCAGGGCUCAACCCUGGACAGGCGGUGGAAACUACCAAGCUGGAGUACGGUAGGGGCAGAGGGAAUUUCCGGUGGAGCGGUGAAAUGCGUAGAGAUGUGGAGGAACACCAGUGGCGAAGGCGACUCUCUGGUCUGUAACUGACGCUGAGGAGCGAAAGCGUGGGGAGCGAACAGGAUUAGAUACCCCUGUAGUCCCUGUCUCUUAUAC